GACGAACCGUCCAAACGUUAUUCGGAAUCACUGGGCUUACAGAGUUCGUAGGCGGUCUGGAAAGUUGGGUGUGAAAUCCCUCGGCUCAACCGAGGAACUGCGCUCAAAACUACCCGACUCGAGGGAGAUAGAGGAAAGCGGAACUGAUGGUGGAGCGGUGAAAUGCGUUGAUAUCAUCAGGAACACCGGUGGCGAAGGCGGCUUACUGGUCCGGUUCUGACGCUGAGGCGCGAAAGCGUGGGGAGCAAACAGG
rnacentral:rRNA from 1 species